GACGAACGCUGGCGGCGUGCUUAACACAUGCCAGUCGAACGGAAAGGCCCUGCUUGCAGGGUACUCGAGUGGCGAACGGGUGAGUAACACGUGGGUGAUCUGCCCUGCACUUCGGGAUAAGCUUGGGAAACUGGGUCUAAUACCGGAUAGGAGCCAUCUUUAGUGUGGUGGUUGGAAAGUUUUUUCGGUGUAGGAUGAGCUCGCGGCCUAUCAGCUUGUUGGUGGGGUAAUGGCCUACCAAGGCGGCGACGGGUAGCCGGCCUGAGAGGGUGUACGGCCACAUUGGGACUGAGAGACGGCCCAGACUCCUACGGGAGGCAGCAGUGGGGAAUAUUGCACAAUGGGCGCAAGCCUGAUGCAGCGACGCCGCGUGGGGGAUGAAGGCCUUCGGGUUGUAAACUCCUUUCGCUAGGGACGAAGCGUUUUUGUGACGGUACCUAGAUAAGAAGCACCGGCUAACUACGUG
rnacentral:rRNA from 1 species